GACGAACGCUGGCGGCGUGCUUAACACAUGCGAGUCGAACGGUGAGGCCCUUCGGGGUACACGAGUGGCGAACGGGUGAGUAACACGUGGGUGAUCUGCCCUGCACUUCGGGAUAAGCCUGGGAAACUGGGUCUAAUACCGGAUAGGACCCUGGGAUGCAUGUCCUGGGGUGGAAAGCUUUUGCGGUGUGGGAUGGGCCCGCGGCCUAUCAGCUUGUUGGUGGGGUGAUGGCCUACCAAGGCGACGACGGGUAGCCGGCCUGAGAGGGUGACCGGCCACACUGGGACUGAGAUACGGCCCAGACUCCUACGGGAGGCAGCAGUGGGGAAUAUUGCACAAUGGGCGCAAGCCUGAUGCAGCGACGCCGCGUGAGGGAUGACGGCCUUCGGGUUGUAAACCUCUUUCAGCACCGACGAAGCGCAAGUGGCGGUAGGUGCAGAAGAAGGACCGGCCAACUACGUGCCAGCCGCCGCCGUAA
rnacentral:rRNA from 1 species